GGAACCUUUAAAUCAGUCCUGUGAGGCUGGCAAGGAGAACGAAUAGGUUUGGCAUAGGGAUGGGGAGUUGUGCGCUCACUCAUUCUUUGUCGAGCACAAAAAAGCUUUCUGCCGCCCGCAGAAAGCUUUUUUUGU
rfam:Aneurinibacillus sp. XH2, complete genome.